GGGACACGUGGUAUCCUGUCUGAAUAUGGGGGGACCAUCCUCCAAGGCUAAAUACUCCUGACUGACCGAUAGUGAACCAGUACCGUGAGGGAAAGGCGAAAAGAACCCCGGCGAGGGGAGUGAAAAAGAACCUGAAACCGUGUACGUACAAGCAGUGGGAGCACGCUUAGGCGUGUGACUGCGUACCUUUUGUAUAAUGGGUCAGCGACUUAUAUUCUGUAGCAAGGUUAACCGAAUAGGGGAGCCGAAGGGAAACCGAGUCUUAACUGGGCGUUAAGUUGCAGGGUAUAGACCCGAAACCCGGUGAUCUAGCCAUGGGCAGGUUGAAGGUUGGGUAACACUAACUGGAGGACCGAACCGACUAAUGUUGAAAAAUUAGCGGAUGACUUGUGGCUGGGGGUGAAAGGCCAAUCAAACCGGGAGAUAGCUGGUUCUCCCCGAAAGCUAUUUAGGUAGCGCCUCGUGAAUUCAUCUCCGGGGGUAGAGCACUGUUUCGGCAAGGGGGUCAUCCCGACUUACCAACCCGAUGCAAACUGCGAAUACCGGAGAAUGUUAUCACGGGAGACACACGGCGGGUGCUAACGUCCGUCGUGAAGAGGGAAACAACCCAGACCGCCAGCUAAGGUCCCAAAGUCAUGGUUAAGUGGGAAACGAUGUGGGAAGGCCCAGACAGCCAGGAUGUUGGCUUAGAAGCAGCCAUCAUUUAAAGAAAGCGUAAUAGCUCACUGGUCGAGUCGGCCUGCGCGGAAGAUGUAACGGGGCUAAACCAUGCACCGAAGCUGCGGCAGCGACGCUUAUGCGUUGUUGGGUAGGGGAGCGUUCUGUAAGCCUGCGAAGGUGUGCUGUGAGGCAUGCUGGAGGUAUCAGAAGUGCGAAUGCUGACAUAAGUAACGAUAAAGCGGGUGAAAAGCCCGCUCGCCGGAAGACCAAGGGUUCCUGUCCAACGUUAAUCGGGGCAGGGUGAGUCGACCCCUAAGGCGAGGCCGAAAGGCGUAGUCGAUGGGAAACAGGUUAAUAUUCCUGUACUUGGUGUUACUGCGAAGGGGGGACGGAGAAGGCUAUGUUGGCCGGGCGACGGUUGUCCCGGUUUAAGCGUGUAGGCUGGUUUUCCAGGCAAAUCCGGAAAAUCAAGGCUGAGGCGUGAUGACGAGGCACUACGGUGCUGAAGCAACAAAUGCCCUGCUUCCAGGAAAAGCCUCUAAGCAUCAGGUAACAUCAAAUCGUACCCCAAACCGACACAGGUGGUCAGGUAGAGAAUACCAAGGCGCUUGAGAGAACUCGGGUGAAGGAACUAGGCAAAAUGGUGCCGUAACUUCGGGAGAAGGCACGCUGAUAUGUAGGUGAAGUCCCUCGCGGAUGGAGCUGAAAUCAGUCGAAGAUACCAGCUGGCUGCAACUGUUUAUUAAAAACACAGCACUGUGCAAACACGAAAGUGGACGUAUACGGUGUGACGCCUGCCCGGUGCCGGAAGGUUAAUUGAUGGGGUCAGCGCAAGCGAAGCUCUUGAUCGAAGCCCCGGUAAACGGCGGCCGUAACUAUAACGGUCCUAAGGUAGCGAAAUUCCUUGUCGGGUAAGUUCCGACCUGCACGAAUGGCGUAAUGAUGGCCAGGCUGUCUCCACCCGAGACUCAGUGAAAUUGAACUCGCUGUGAAGAUGCAGUGUACCCGCGGCAAGACGGAAAGACCCCGUGAACCUUUACUAUAGCUUGACACUGAACAUUGAGCCUUGAUGUGUAGGAUAGGUGGGAGGCUUUGAAGUGUGGACGCCAGUCUGCAUGGAGCCGACCUUGAAAUACCACCCUUUAAUGUUUGAUGUUCUAACGUUGACCCGUGAUCCGGGUUGCGGACAGUGUCUGGUGGGUAGUUUGACUGGGGCGGUCUCCUCCUAAAGAGUAACGGAGGAGCACGAAGGUUGGCUAAUCCUGGUCGGACAUCAGGAGGUUAGUGCAAUGGCAUAAGCCAGCUUGACUGCGAGCGUGACGGCGCGAGCAGGUGCGAAAGCAGGUCAUAGUGAUCCGGUGGUUCUGAAUGGAAGGGCCAUCGCUCAACGGAUAAAAGGUACUCCGGGGAUAACAGGCUGAUACCGCCCAAGAGUUCAUAUCGACGGCGGUGUUUGGCACCUCGAUGUCGGCUCAUCACAUCCUGGGGCUGAAGUAGGUCCCAAGGGUAUGGCUGUUCGCCAUUUAAAGUGGUACGCGAGCUGGGUUUAGAACGUCGUGAGACAGUUCGGUCCCUA
rnacentral:rRNA from 1 species